UCUCCGUUGGUGAACCAGCGGAGGGGUCAUUACAGGACUCGCAAGACUCCUACAACCCUGUGAACUUAACUAUAAGCACGUUGCUUCGCCGGGUGUCUCGCAGGCGGAUCUCCAUCCCCGUGAAGCUAAACCCGCCAGCAGCCUACUAUACUCUGUCACAUUUCGUUUGCAUCUCGAGUACAAUCAAACAAGUUAAAACUUUCAACAACGGAUCUCUUGGUUCUG
rnacentral:misc_RNA from 1 species